CGUAGCCGCGGUAAUUCCAGCUCCAAUAGCGUAUAUUAAAGUUGUUGCAGUUAAAAAGCUCGUAGUUGAAUUUCAGGCCUGGCUGGACGGUCCGCCCUUCGGGUGAGUACUGUCUGUGGUCGGGUCCUACCUUCUGGCGAAGCGUCAUGGCCUUAACCGGCCGUGGCGGGGAACCAGGACUUUUACUGUGAAAAAUUAGAGUGUUCAAAGCAGGCAAUCGCUUGGAUACAUUAGCAUGGAAUAAUGGAAUAGGACAAUGGUUCUAUUUGUUGGUUUCUAGGACCGUUGUAAUGAUUAAUAGGGAUAGUUGGGGGCAUUAGUAUUCAAUUGUCAGAGGUGAAAUUCUUGGAUUUAUUGAAGACUAACUACUGCGAAAGCAUUUGCCAAGGAUGUUUUCAUUAAUCAAGAACGAAAGUUAGGGGAUCGAAGACGAUCAGAUACCGUCGUAGUCUUAACCAUAAACUAUGCCGACUAGGAAUCGGGCGAUGUUGAAAAAUGACGCGCUCGGCACCUCAUGGGA
rnacentral:rRNA from 1 species